UCCAUCUGCAGGAAGAUGGAGCUGCUUAUCCUUUUUUCUUCAGUCUUUGACAGCUGGGCAAAAAAGAUCAAUCAUAUUAACUGACUGUUGCUUUUCUUUAGGUGCUGAACUUCCACUGAAUGUGUCUAAAGGAAGAAAGAGCAUAUAUGUCAGGUGAUUGACUUGGCAAGGAGGCCAGGAACCCAAGGAAAAUGGCUAGUCCUUUGCAGGGCUUUUGGCCCAAACUGUCAGUUAGCAUCUUCCAAACUACUGAGUAAUCUUGGGAGCUGGUAUCCUCGAGUGCUCUAAAUGAAAGAGGAAUUCCUUCAGAGGAAUGUAUAUUUUGCAAUUAGACACUGAGGUAGAUUUGCACGUAUUUUCUGUCACUUCAGGAGAGGUCAUGAACAGUCAAAUGUCAGCUGAAUGUCAGAGAAAUGGCUCGUAUAAUGAAAUCUAUUAAGGUGUCCAAUAGCCCUGUGCAAAAGAGAAGAUAAUCUUGCUUUGUG